UAGGGAAUCUUCCACAAUGGACGCAAGUCUGAUGGAGCAACGCCGCGUGAGUGAAGAAGGUCUUCGGAUCGUAAAGCUCUGUUGUUGGUGAAGAAGGAUAGAGGCAGUAACUGGUCUUUAUUUGACGGUAAUCAACCAGAAAGUCACGGCUAACUACGUGCCAGCAGCCGCGGUAAUACGUAGGUGGCAAGCGUUGUCCGGAUUUAUUGGGCGUAAAGCGAGCGCAGGCGGAAUGAUAAGUCUGAUGUGAAAGCCCACGGCUCAACCGUGGAACUGCAUCGGAAACUGUCAUUCUUGAGUGCAGAAGAGGAGAGUGGAACUCCAUGUGUAGCGGUGGAAUGCGUAGAUAUAUGGAAGAACACCAGUGGCGAAGGCGGCUCUCUGGUCUGCAACUGACGCUGAGGCUCGAAAGCAUGGGUAGCGAACAGGAUUAGAU
rnacentral:rRNA from 1 species